rfam:Crassostrea gigas strain 05x7-T-G4-1.051#20 contig7226, whole genome shotgun sequence.
GUACUUGCUUUUCGGCAGUACAUAUAUUAAAAUUGGAACGAUACAGAGAAGAUUAGCAUGGCCCCUGCGCAAAGGAUGGUACGCAAUCUUCGUGGUUUCGUUCCAAUUCCC